rnacentral:rRNA from 1 species
GAUGAACGCUAGCGGCAGGCUUAAUACAUGCAAGUCGAGGGGCAGCAUGAUUGUAGCAAUACAAUUGAUGGCGACCGGCAAACGGGUGCGGAACACGUACACAACCUUCCAACAAGUGGGGGAUAGCCCAGAGAAAUUUGGAUUAAUACCCCGUAACAUAGCGAUGUGGCAUCACAUUGCUAUUCUAGAUUUUUCGCUUGUUGAUGGGUGGGCGGCUGAUUAGAUAGUUGGCGGGGUAACGGCCCACCAAGUCUACGAUCAGUAGCUGAUGUGAGAGCAUGAUCAGCCACACGGACACUGAGACACGGGCCCGACUCCUACGGGAGGCAGCAGUAAGGAAUAUUGGACAAUGGACGCAAGUCUGAUCCAGCCAUGCCGCGUGAAGGAUUAAGGUCCUCUGGAUUGUAAACUUCUUUUAUAAGGGACGAAAAAAGGCUUUUCUAAGUCGUCUGACGGUACCUUAUGAAUAAGCACCGGCUAACUCCGUGCCAGCAGCCGCCGUAAGAC